GGGGAAUUUUCCGCAAUGGGCGAAAGCCUGACGGAGCAAUACCGCGUGAGGGAGGAAGGCUCUUGGGUUGUAAACCUCUUUUCUCAGGGAAGAACAAAAUGACGGUACCUGAGGAAUAAGCAUCGGCUAACUCCGUGCCAGCAGCCGCGGUAAUACGGAGGAUGCAAGCGUUAUCCGGAAUUAUUGGGCGUAAAGCGUCCGCAGGUGGCAAUUCAAGUCUGCUGUUAAAGGUUCUGGCUCAACCAGAAACAGGCAGUGGAAACUGAAUAGCUAGAGUGCGGUAGGGGCAGAGGGAAUUCCCAGUGUAGCGGUGAAAUGCGUAGAGAUUGGGAAGAACACCGGUGGCGAAAGCGCUCUGCUAGGCCGUAACUGACACUCAUGGACGAAAGCUAGGGGAGCGAAUGGGAUUAGAUACCCCAGUAGUCCUAGCCGUAAACGAUGGAUACUAGGCGUUGCUCGCAUCGACCCGAGCAGUGCCGUAGCUAACGCGUUAAGUAUCCCGCCUGGGGAGUACGCGCGCAAGCGUGAAACUCAAAGGAAUUGACGGGGGCCCGCACAAGCGGUGGAGUAUGUGGUUUAAUUCGAUGCAACGCGAAGAACCUUACCAGGACUUGACAUGUCGCGAAUCUUUGGGAAACUAAAGAGUGCCUUCGGGAGCGCGAACACAGGUGGUGCAUGGCUGUCGUCAGCUCGUGUCGUGAGAUGUUGGGUUAAGUCCCGCAACGAGCGCAACCCUCGUUCUUAGUUGCCAGCAUUAAGUUGGGCACUCUAGGGAGACUGCCGGUGAUAAACCGGAGGAAGGUGGGGAUGACGUCAAGUCAGCAUGCCCCUUACGUCCUGGGCUACACACGUACUACAAUGCUACGGACAAAGGGCCGCAAGCUAGCGAUAGCAAGCAAAUCCCAUAAACCGUGGCUCAGUUCAGAUUGCAGGCUGCAACUCGCCUGCAUGAAGGCGGAAUCGCUAGUAAUCCCAGAUCAGCACGCUGGGGUGAAUACGUUCCCGGGCCUUGUACACACCGCCCGUCACACCAUGGAAGUUGGCCACGCCCGAAGUCGUUACCCUAACCGCAAGGAGGGGGAUGCCGAAGGCAGAGCUGAUGACUGGGGUGAAGUCGUAACAAGGUAGCCGUACCGGAAGGUGUGGCUGGAUCACCUCCUU
rnacentral:rRNA from 1 species